GUGAAUCAUCAAAUUUUUGAACGCAAAUUGCACUCUCUGCGGAUAGUAUGCCUGUUUGAGGUUCAGCCUAAAAAAAAAUCUACAUAUUCGCUGUUUCUCGGUGACAUUCGUCUUAAAUUGUGUCAUCUUAAACCUUUGGGUUUUAAGCGUCUUAAAAUUUUCUUUACGAUUCCACGAACGUUUCUAAGAUUUACUUCUUUUACUUUUAAUGUAUCGAUCUUUAUUAGACGUUUCCGUGACAUCGGAUCUCG
rnacentral:misc_RNA from 1 species